GUGGUGUCAAAUAUAUGCAUUUAUUUGUUCUUGCUUUAUUCAGUAUGAUUUGUGUUGCAGCUCUUGACCAAAAGACAGAUACCAAGAACAUAAAGACGAUUUAACAUUAGAUACUGCCAGGGGCACCCCUCCAGACCCAGAGGCUCCCAACAGAAUAGAAGAGGAGCUUCACCACGUUGUCUUUUAUAUGCUCCAGACGCCUCCACUCUGUCCCUUCUUCAUCUCUCCACCUAAAGCGGUAUUCGUUACCCAAGCUAUUUGGCUGAUUUUCUUCAACCAGCUGCGGACACAAAUGACUGGGUAAACUCAAAAGGUAACUGUAAACAAUGACCACAUAAUUGUUAUUGUUGAAAUGGAAGCUUGAAAGCUAACCAGUUAACUAUAUAAUUCAAUCACACAUUAUUAUUAAUUUGUCUCAACAUGUCUGUCUUUCUUGGGCAUCUCCCCAACUUGUGUUUAAUAUGAAAUGAGUCAACAUCCAUGUAAUUAAUGCUGAUAUGGGAACGCCAACCUGCUGAAAAUGAUUUGCAUUUGUGGUUAAUUGUAUGAUUAAUAAAAAUGGAC
ensembl:lncRNA